rnacentral:rRNA from 1 species
GGGGAAUAUUGGACAAUGGGCGAAAGCCUGACCAGCCAUGGCGCGGGGGUGAAGAAGGUCUUCGGAAUUUUAAGUAACUUCAGGUGGGCAGAAGGGGCGUAAGUUCAUACCUUGCCGGUUUUAAGUUAGCCAACGAAAAAGGCACGGCUUACAUCGGUCCAGCAGCCGCGGUAAUACGAAGGGUGCAAGCGUUAAUCGGAAUUACUGGGCGUAAAGCGCGCGUAGGUGGUUCAGCAAGUUGGAUGUGAAAUCCCCGGGCUCAACCUGGGAACUGCAUCCAAAACUACUGAGCUAGAGUACGGUAGAGGGUGGUGGAAUUUCCUGUGUAGCGGUGAAAUGCGUAGAUAUAGGAAGGAACACCAGUGGCGAAGGCGACCACCUGGACUGAUACUGACACUGAGGUGCGAAAGCGUGGGGAGCAAACA